CUGAGAGUGAGAGACCUGGUAUUUGGUGAUUACAGCAUACAGUUUCUCUUCCAAAGAUGUUUUUGCAAACAGCAGCUAGUGUUUAUGAAGUCAUCCCGGAUUUGACAGGAUACUGUCAAGUAUUCAGCGCCUUCCACCCUCCCUCGUUCUCUCUUCAACUCAGCACCACUCCCUCCACCUCCACCUCCUCCGGACCACUACAUUUGAUGCUUCCAUUGCUUCAAGAACAGAGUCAGAGAAAAAAGACUUCAAAUGUUUGGCUUUUAAGGUGCAUUCCUGGUAUAAAUCAGAGAGAUUUUGGAGAAUACAUAUUGUAUCAGC
rnacentral:lncRNA from 10 species